rnacentral:piRNA from 1 species
UAAUAGAUGUUCCCUUACUCCAUGAUAGGA